UGACAUCUAUGACAAUAAAAGGUGAAAUUAGUUUUUUGGAGGUAGAUUAAAAGUUUAACGUUAAGGAGGAGAAGCCUAAAAGUUAAGGUAUAAACCAGGAUUAGAUACCCUGCUAUACUUAAGGGGGAAAAAAUAUAACUUGAAUAUUAGUAGAUAUGGUCUUCAAAUUCAAAGAAUUUGGCGGUAUUUUAGUCUUGUUAGAGGAACCUGUUCUGUAAAUGAUACAACACGAAGAAUCUUACUUACUCUUGUUUAACAGUUUGUAUACCGUCAUUAUUAGAUAACCUUUAUUGAGAAAGUUAUUGAAAUCUAGAAGUUGGAGUAUAUUAGAUCAAGGUGCAGUUUAUGGGUGAGAAGAAAUGGGUUACAAUAAAAUUUAUUUAAACGUAUCAGUAAUUGAAUAGUUUCUGUAAAGGAGGAUUUAAUUGUAACAUAAUAAUUUAAUAAGUUAAUGUGAUAUGAGAACUAAGAUAUGUACAUAUCGCCCGUCGCUUCCAUUGAAGGUGAGAUA
rnacentral:rRNA from 1 species